UGUAAGCGUAUACCAAAGUUGUUGCAGUUAAAAAGCUCGUAGUUGAACCUUGGGCUUGGCUGGCCGGUCCAUCUUUUUUGAUGCGUACUGGACCCAGCCGAGCCUUUCCUUCUGGCUAGCCUUUUGGCGAACCAGGACUUUUACUUUGAAAAAAUUAGAGUGUUCAAAGCAGGCCUUUGCUCGAAUAUAUUAGCAUGGAAUAAUAGAAUAGGACGUUAUGGUUCUAUUUUGUUGGUUUCUAGGACCAUCGUAAUGAUUAAUAGGGACGGUCGGGGGUAUCAGUAUUCAGUUGUCAGAGGUGAAAUUCUUGGAUUUACUGAAGACUAACUACUGCGAAAGCAUUUACCAAGGACGUUUUCAUUAA
rnacentral:rRNA from 1 species